UACAGAGGGUGCAAGCGUUACUCGGAAUUACUGGGCGUAAAGCGUGCGUAGUCAGUUAUCUAAGUCAGGUGUGAAAUCCCCGGGCUCAACCUGGGAAUUGCAUUUGAUACUGGAUAGCUAGAGUUCGGCAGAGGGAAGUGGAAUUUCUGGUGUAGCGGUGAAAUGCGUAGAUAUCAGAAGGAACAUCAGUGGCGAAAGCGACUUCCUGGACCAGAACUGACGAUCAGGCACGAAAGCGUGGGGAGCAAACAGG
rnacentral:rRNA from 1 species